rnacentral:ncRNA from 2 species
AAUUUCGCGGUUGCAAUCGGUUCAAUGUGUGAUUGAUUAAAAGGGAACAGGGUGGAAAUCCCUGACAGUCCCGCUGCUGUGAACGAUGUUUUGGAAGAAACGAAAGGCCACUGACGGUUGUUGUGUCGGGAAGGUGUUUCUUCGUGAGUCGUGAAGUCAGAAGACCUGCCGUUGCAAGUUGAUGCUU